AACGAACGCUGGCGGCAUGCCUAACACAUGCAAGUCGAACGAGACCUUCGGGUCUAGUGGCGCACGGGUGCGUAACGCGUGGGAACCUGCCCUUAGGUUCGGAAUAACUCCCCGAAAGGGGUGCUAAUACCGGAUAAUGUCUUCGGACCAAAGAUUUAUCGCCUUUGGAUGGGCCCGCGUUGGAUUAGCUAGUUGGUAGGGUAAAAGCCUACCAAGGCGACGAUCCAUAGCUGGUCUGAGAGGAUGAUCAGCCACACUGGGACUGAGACACGGCCCCGACUCCGACGGGAGGCAGCAGUGGGGAAUAUUGGACAGUGGGCGAAAGCCUGAUCCAGCAAGGCCGCGUGAGUGAUGAAGGCCUUAGGGUUGUAAAGCUCUUUUACCCGGGAUGAUAAUGACAGAACCGGGAGAAUAAGCUCCGGCUAACUCCGG
rnacentral:rRNA from 1 species